rnacentral:rRNA from 1 species
GGUAGCCGGCCUGAGAGGGUGAACGGCCACAUUGGGACUGAGACACGGCCCAAACUCCUACGGAAGGCAGCAG